UGGGGAAUAUUGCACAAUGGGCGCAAGCCUGAUGCAGCCAUGCCGCGUGUAUGAAGAAGGCCUUCGGGUUGUAAAGUACUUUCAGCGAGGAGGAAGGCGUUGUGGUUAAUAACCGCAACGAUUGACGUUACUCGCAGAAGAAGCACCGGCUAACUCCGUGCCAGCAGCCGCGGUAAUACGGAGGGCGCAAGCGUUAAUCGGAAUUACUGGGCGUAAAGCGCACGCAGGCGGGCUGUCAAGUCGGAUGUGAAAUCCCCGGGCUCAACCUGGGAACUGCAUCCGAAACUGGCAGGCUAGAGUCUUGUAGAGGGGGGUAGAAUUCCAGGUGUAGCGGUGAAAUGCGUAGAGAUCUGGAGGAAUACCGGUGGCGAAGGCGGCCCCCUGGACAAAGACUGACGCUCAGGUGCGAAAGCGUGGGGAGCAAACA
rnacentral:rRNA from 1 species